rnacentral:rRNA from 1 species
GCACGCCGGUGAGGGAUGACGGCCUUCGGGUUGUAAACCGCUUUCAGCAGGGACGAAAAUGACGGUACCUGCAGAAGAAGCCCCGGCCAACUACGUGCCAGCAGCCGCGGUAACACGUAGGGGGCGAGCGUUGUCCGGAUUUAUUGGGCGUAAAGAGCUCGUAGGCGGUUUCGUAAGUCGGGUGUGAAAGCUUCAGGCUCAACCUGGAGAAGCCACUCGGUACUGCGAUGACUAGAGUCCGGUAGGGGAGCGUGGAAUUCCUGGUGUAGCGGUGAAAUGCGCAGAUAUCAGGAGGAACACCAACGGCGAAGGCAGCGCUCUGGGCCGGAACUGACGCUGAGGAGCGAAAGCGUGGGUAGCGAACAGGAUUAGAUACCCUGGUAGUCCACGCCGUAAACGUUGGGCACUAGGUGUGGGAUCUUUCCAACGGAUUCCGUGCCGUAGCUAACGCAUUAAGUGCCCCGCCUGGGAGUACGGCCGCAAGGCUAACUCAAAGGAUUGACGG